UCAGAUUGAACGCUGGCGGCAGGCCUAACACAUGCAAGUCGAACGGUAACAGGAAGUGCUUGCACUUCGCUGACGAGUGGCGGACGGGUGAGUAAUGCUUGGGAACUUGCCUUUGCGAGGGGGAUAACAGUUGGAAACGACUGCUAAUACCGCAUAAUGUCUACGGACCAAACGGGGCUUUUAGCUCCGGCGCAAAGAGAGGCCCAAGUGAGAUUAGCUAGUUGGUAAGGUAA
rnacentral:rRNA from 1 species